GAUGAACGCUGGCGGCGUGCUUAACACAUGCAAGUCGAACGGAAAGGCUCCUGCUUGCAGGGGUACUCGAGUGGCGAACGGGUGAGUAACACGUGGGUGAUCUGCCCUGCACUUCGGGAUAAGCCUGGGAAACUGGGUCUAAUACCGGAUAGGACGAUGGCUUGGAUGCCAUUGUGGAAAGUUUUUUCGGUGUGGGAUGAGCUCGCGGCCUAUCAGCUUGUUGGUGGGGUAAUGGCCUACCAAGGCGUCGACGGGUAGCCGGCCUGAGAGGGUGUACGGCCACAUUGGGACUGAGAUACGGCCCAGACUCCUACGGGAGGCAGCAGUGGGGAAUAUUGCACAAUGGGCGCAAGCCUGAUGCAGCGACGCCGCGUGGGGGAUGACGGCCUUCGGGCUGUAAACUCCUUUCGCUAGGGACGAAGCGCAAGUGACGGUACCUGGAGAAGAAGCACCGGCUAACUACGUG
rnacentral:rRNA from 1 species